UUCUGUCCUCUAUUUGUUGAACAUUUCUACUCUCCACUUCCUAAAGUCAGUAACAGUUCUGGCCUCAACCUAUGGCUGGACUUCGAAGCAAUCUAAAAAUUCUCUAUGGCACGGCUGGAGGGGUAGAAAACUUGCCAAGUGCAAGGCUCUGAGUACCACCAAAAAAAUAAAUGAAUAAAUAAAAGUUUGCCUCUGAA